CAGCAGCCGCGGGAAUACGGAGGGUGCAAGCGUUAAUCGGAAUUACUGGGCGUAAAGCGCACGCAGGCGGUCUGUCAAGACAGAUGUGAAAUCCCCGGGCUCAACCUGGGAACUGCAUCCAAAACUGGUGAGCUAGAGUACGGUAGAGGGUAGUGGAAUUUCCUGUGUAGCGGUGAAAUGCGUAGAUAUAGGAAGGAACACCAGUGGCGAAGGCGACUACCUGGACUGAUACUGACACUGAGGUGCGAAAGCGUGGGGAGCAAACAGGAUUAGAUACCCGAGUAGUCCCUGUCUCUUAUAC
rnacentral:rRNA from 1 species